UAUGGCCACAUCAGGUUGAAACACCAGUUCCCGUAUAUGAUCAUUGAAGUUAUGCAUCGUUGAGCCUAGUUAGUAUCUAGAUAGGUGAACACUUGAGAAUACCAGGUGCUGUA